GCCAGACUCCUACGGGAGGCAGCAGUGAGGGAUAUUGGUCAAUGGGGGAAACCCUGAACCAGCAACGCCGCGUGAGGGAAGACGGUUUUCGGAUUGUAAACCUCUGUCCUCUGUGAAGAUAAUGACGGUAGCAGAGGAGGAAGCUCCGGCUAACUACGUGCCAGCAGCCGCGGUAAUACGUAGGGAGCAAGCGUUGUCCGGAUUUACUGGGUGUAAAGGGUGCGUAGGCGGCCUUGCAAGUCAGAAGUGAAAUCCAUGGGCUUAACCCGUGAACUGCUUUUGAAACUGUAGGGCUUGAGUGAAGUAGAGGCAGGCGGAAUUCCCGGUGUAGCGGUGAAAUGCGUAGAGAUCGGGAGGAACACCAGUGGCGAAGGCGGGUUCCUGGACAUUAACUGACGCUGAGGCACGAAGGCCAGGGGAGCGAAAGGGAUUAGAUACCCUAGUACG
rnacentral:rRNA from 1 species